rnacentral:rRNA from 1 species
UACGUAGGUGGCAAGCGUUGUCCGGAAUUAUUGGGCGUAAAGCGCGCGCAGGCGGUCCUUUAAGUCUGAUGUGAAAGCCCACGGCUCAACCGUGGAGGGUCAUCGGAAACUGGGGGACUUGAGUACAGAAGAGAAGAGUGGAAUUCCACGUGUAGCGGUGAAAUGCGUAGAGAUGUGGAGGAACACCAGUGGCGAAGGCGACUCUUUGGUCUGUAACUGACGCUGAGGCGCGAAAGCGUGGGGAGCAAACAGG